AUUGAUUUUUUACAGAGAGGAAGGGAGAGGGAUAGAGAGGUAGAAACAUCGAUGAGAGAGAAACAUCGAUCAGCUGCCUCCUGCACACCUCCUACUGGGGAUGUGCCCGCAACCAAGGUACGUGCCCUUGACCGGAAUCGAACCUGGAACCUUUCAGUCCGCAGGCCGAUGCUCUACCCACUGAGCCAAACCGGUCAGGGCUACUGCCAGAUUUUUUGUGAAACACCAGGUGACUUAUAAUUUCACCAAGUGUCCUGGGAUUCUCAAGGUCAGGGAGGUUGAAAAACUCUGGGAUAAAGGGGAUGGUAGCUGAGAAGAAGGCUUCCCUCAUCAUGACCACACCAUCAUCAGGUGAAGCCAGAUGAAACCACCACCAUCAACAUCAGAGGGAAAACAAAUCUAUGAAGAAUCCAUGUUAUUGCAAUUAUUUAAUCAAGAUCCUAUCUCCUAUAAAAGCAACACAAAGAGGGAGCUGUGUUUGCUGUUUCAUCUUGAAGUGUGUUUGCUGGUUUCUUUCUGAAAAAGCUGCAUUUAAUACCAGUCUUUGCAGGUGACACUCAUCAUGAUCUCCCCUACUCAAAUUGAUCAUCACUGGGCCUGGUUGCAAAGAAUAGUUCAGAAAGGAUAUUCAAGUAAAAUCUGCAGACGUCUCGUGAUUAUUUCUGGCAUUACGUUUCUCAUCGUUCGUAACCUGAUGGCCAUUUAUGACAGGUACUGGGAGUCACAAGAUGUCGCCACGAUCCAACUAGAAUUGCCGAGGUGUCUCAUUAACAAGGAUCAAAUCGAUGCCGCCCAAAAGGAGAAACGGAAGUACGCCAAGUCAGGAUGAUCUGAAAUUAAACCUGGACGCCUUUGGGCUUUUGGGCCUUUUUAAAGUCUCUUGAGCAUUUUUAAAUAGAAAUAAAUUUGGG